GUCGAGAAUCUUUCACAAUGGGGGCAACCCUGAUGGAGCGACGCCGCGUGGAGGAUAAGGUUUUCGGAUUGUAAACUCCUGUCAUGCGUGAACAAGGUUGCUUGGUUAAUACCUGGGCAAAUUGAUGGUAACGCAAGAGGAAGAGACGGCUAACUCUGUGCCAGCAGCCGCGGUAAUACAGAGGUCUCAAGCGUUGUUCGGAAUCACUGGGCGUAAAGGGUGCGUAGGUGGCGGGGUAAGUCAGAUGUGAAAGCCCGGGGCUCAACCUGGGAACUGCAUCCGAUACUGCCAUGCUAGAGUACUGGAGAGGUGACUAGAAUUCUCGGUGUAGCAGUGAAAUGCGUAGAUAUCGAGAGGAAUACCAAAGGCGUAGGCAGGUCACUGGACAGUUACUGACACUGAGGCACGAAGGCCAGGGGAGCGAACGGGAUUAGAUACCCCAGUAGUCC
rnacentral:rRNA from 1 species